CGAGGACGAACGCUGGCGGCGUGCCUAAUACAUGCAAGUCGAACGGUCUUUCUAUGGAAGCUUGCUUCCACUGAGAAGAUAGUGGCGAACGGGUGAGUAACACGUGGGUAACCUGCCCAUAAGAGGGGGGAUAACAUCCGGAAACGGGUGCUAAUACCGCAUAGUUUUCUUGAUUGCAUGAUUGAGAAAGGAAAGACGGCCUUUGUGCUGUCGCUUAUGGAUGGGCCCGCGGCGUAUUAGUUAGUUGGUGAGGUAACGGCUCACCAAGACGAUGAUACGUAGCCGACCUGAGAGGGUGAUCGGCCACAUUGGGACUGAGACACGGCCCAAACUCCUACGGGAGGCAGCAGUAGGGAAUCUUCCGCAAUGGACGAAAGUCUGACGGAGCAACGCCGCGUGAGUGAAAGAAGGUUUUCGGAUCGUAAAACUCUGUUGUCAGAGAAGAACAAGUUGGAGAGUAACUGCUCCAGCCUUGACGGUAUCUGACCAGAAAGCCACGGCUAACUACGUGCCAGCCGCCGC
rnacentral:rRNA from 1 species